rnacentral:rRNA from 1 species
AACGAACGCUGGCGGCGUGGUUGAUACAUGCAAGUCGAACGGGAAACAGUCCUUCGGGGCUGGAGUACAGUGGCGGACGGGUGAGUAACGUAUGAUCAAUCUGCCCUAAAGACUAGGAUAGCCGUCCGAAAGGACGGGUAAUACUGGAUAAGCCCACGGUUAGGCAUCUAAUAGUGGGAAAAGGAUUGGGAUCUUCGGACCUUUCGCUUUAGGAUGAGAUCAUAACCUAUCAGUUAGUUGGCGGGGUAACGGCCCACCAAGACGACGACGGGUAGCCGGCCUGAGAGGGUGGACGGCCACACUGGAACUGAGACACGGUCCAGACUCCUACGGGAGGCAGCAGUGCUGAAUUAUUCGCCAAUGCGCGAAAGCGUGACGGUGCGACGCCGCGUGCGGGACGAAGGCCUUCGGGUUGUAAACCGCUGUCAGGGAUUAGAAAACCUAUAUGGUUAAUAGCCAUGUAGCUGAUCAGUCCCAAAGGAAGCACAGGCUAAUCUCGUGCCAGCCGCCGCGUAAAC